GAUAUGCAAGCUCACUUAAGACAUUCAAGGAGGUCUGGAUCCUUUCCUCACUGCCCAGGCCCGGGCCCACCCCACCUUUAACCGUCAGGGUUCCCCACUACCUGGGAAGCCCCACACCCUCCAAAGAUGCGCUAGGUGCGCCAGACGCAUGCUCCUCUGCUCCGCUGGCUCCGAAGAACCAGAUCUGAGGCCAAGAUAAAACCCGAUUCCUGAUGUCCGACCCCCUAACAUUAGAAGUCGAGAGAUGAAGGGAAAACUCGGAAAUCAGAGCCAUGGAUUCAAACCAGCACUGGAAAAUGCCCCGGGACAGUUCGUGCUGAGCGCCUUAGCCACACAGUGGCCUCGCAGCUGGGGCAAGGGGGACAUCCCCGGCGCCGCGGAGCCGCGAGCGGAGCGAGCGCCCGGGGCGCACCUGAGCCUCCAGCACUCCCCGCGGCCGCCUGGCUGGCCAAGAAAAAUUGGCAUCUGGCAUACCUAGGAAUCAUUCAAAAUAGUUUAAUAGGAAGGACAUUUUGAGGCCAGCCAGCAUUAUGACAUUUGUGGGUCCUACGGCAUUUCACCUUGGAAACAUUUUCCUGGGCAUCUAAAAGUAUUGUGGACCUGAGACACUGUGCUUACAGGGCCUACUGGGUUGAUUCUAAAGAAGAAAGAAAAUCUAUAUGCAUGAAAAGAUGUCUUAAAAAGUUUUGAACUACUCAAAGUUAAGAUUUGGGGAAAUAGAAAUAGUAUAUAACUUAAGAAAAUUGCCACUGGCUGUGAACCCCCAUGGCAUUUUCUUUGCACUUUUUUGCUUCUCGUUAGAUUGUAUGUGUUUUUACCAUUUCACACAAACUUUUAAAGAUUAUUCCACGCCGUUAGCUCUGUGCUUCUGAAAAAUGCCAAUCACAGCGAUCCCAUCGCGCUGCUUCAGGGCUUCUUUAAAAGUGUUAUACUUCGGGUUCCAGUGAACCAAAUGAAGCUGAAACCAUAGAAGACAGAUUAGAAGUUUUCACUGUAUGAGACCGAGAAUGGAUUAUGGCAGUUCCUCUUACCUCCGCUGCAUACUUGACUCCAUCCACGGUGUGCUCAGAGCCAUGAUCAUCCGAAGAGCCCCAGUGAAGAUGAAACUGGCGAAGUCGGUAGGGUCCAGGGAGAGGACCCCCUCUCAGCACUGUGAUUCAGAUAAGCUUGGUCAACAGUGAAUUCAUGCUUCUUUUACAGAGCUCUACUUUAACCAAGUGCUCUUAGAGCCAAGGCUUAAUGGACAAAAUGUGGUCAGUUUGCUGGGUGGAUGGUGCCACUCCCAGGACACUGGACUCCUCACAAAAUGAAGUCUGGGGAUAUGUCAAGAUAAAUGAUUGUUCUUUUCUGUCUUUCUUAUUUUGUUUGCUUGAGCUGCUGUGAAGAUUAACUGAGAUUAAGCACCUUAAAGUGCUCAUCAUAGU
rnacentral:lncRNA from 10 species